rfam:Trichobilharzia regenti genome assembly, scaffold: TRE_scaffold0004008
AUCCAGAUGACGAGUCCCAAGUAGGAGGAAACGCGCAUCUUGGAU